CUUGCCCUGGGACAAAGUGAGGUGAUAGAGGUCAACCAUAUACUAAUCCUCGGAUGGAGCAACAAGCUGGGCUCUCUUCUGAAGCAGCUAGCUAUAGCAAAUAAAAGCAUUGGUGGUGGUGUAGUUGUUGUCCUCGCAGAAAGAAACAAGGAAGAGAUGGAGAUGGACAUAGGAAAGCUAGGAUUUGACUUCAUGGGAACAUCUGUAAUAUGUAGAAGCGGCAGUCCUCUAAUCCUAGCAGAUCUAAAGAAGGUUUCUGUUUCCGAAGCACGUGUUAUUAUUGUUUUAGCACCUGAUGAAAAUGCAGACCAAAGUGAUGCACGAGCUUUGCGUCUCGUACUGAGCCUGACUGGAGUAAAAGAGGGCUUAGGGCAUAUUGUUGUAGAGAUGAGUGACCUUGACAAUGAACCUUUAGUGAAAUUGGUUGGAGGUGAACUAAUUGAAACAGUUGUUUCCCAUGAUGUCAUUGGACGUUUGAUGAUACAGUGUGCACUCCAACCUGGCUUGGCACAGAUAUGGGAGGAUAUUUUGGGAUUUGAAAAUGCAGAAUUUUGUAUAAAAAGAUGGCCAAAAUUGGAUGGCAUGCGGUUUGGCGAUGUGUUAAUCUCAUUCCCUAACGCUGUGCCCUGCGGAGUGAAGCUUGCGUCAGCAUUUGGAAGUAUAUUAAUGAAUCCGGAUGAUGAUUAUGUUUUAAGAGAAGGUGAUGAGAUCCUUGUUAUAGCAGAAGAUGAUGAUACUUAUGCACCUGCUCCUCUACCAGAGCUGCAUAAGGGUUUUCUACCUAACGUUCCCACCCCUCCUAAAUAUCCAGAGAAAAUUUUGUUCUGUGGUUGGCGACGUGACAUUCACCAUAUGAUAAUGGUUCUAGAAGCAUUUCUUGCUCCGGGCUCUGAAUUGUGGAUGUUCAAUGAGGUGCCAGAGAAGGCGAGGGAGGCAAAACUGACUGACAGUGGUAUGGAUAUUCUUGGACUAACAAACAUUAAACUUGUACACAAAGAAGGGAAUGUUGCCAUCAGGCGGCACUUAGAAAGCUUGCCUCUUGAGACCUUUGAUUCUAUUUUAAUUCUUGCAGAUGAGUCGGUGGAGGACUCCGUUGUACAAUCGGAUUCACGGUCCAUAGCUACACUUCUUCUAAUUCGUGACAUUCAGUCCAGACGUCUUCCAUCAUCGAAGGAGUCAAAAUCACCUCUACAUCACAAUAGCUUUUCUCACAGCUCAUGGAUUCGGAAGAUGCAACGUGCAUCGGACAGAUCAAUAAUAAUCAGUGAGAUACUGGACUCAAGAACUAGAAACCUUGUAUCUGUCUCCAAAAUCAGCGAUUACGUCCUGUCAAAUGAACUUGUCAGUAUGGCAUUAGCAAUGGUAGCAGAAGACAAGCAAAUCAACAGAGUUCUCCAGGAACUUUUCGCUGAGGAGGGCAACGAGAUGUGCAUACGGUCUGCUGAGUUUUACCUGUACGAACAAGAGGAGUUAAGUUUCCUGGACAUAAUGGUGAGGGCUCGUGAGAGAGACGAGAUUGUGAUCGGCUACCGGCUUGCAAACACCGAUGAGGCAAUCAUUAAUCCAGAGCAUAAGUCGGAGAUUAAGAAGUGGUCUUUAGACGACAUGUUUGUUGUGAUCGCGAAAGGUGACUGA
rnacentral:rRNA from 1 species